rnacentral:rRNA from 1 species
CGCGUAGGUGGUUUGUUAAGUUGGAUGUGAAAGCCCCGGGCUCAACCUGGGAACUGCAUCCAAAACUGGCAGCUAGAGUACGGUAGAGGGUGGUGGAAUUUCCUGUGUAGCGGUGAAAUGCGUAGAUAUAGGAAGGAACACCAGUGGCGAAGGCGACCACCUGGACUGAUACUGACACUGAGGUGCGAAAGCGUGGGGAGCAAACA